AUUGAACGCUGGCGGCGGGCCUAACACAUGCAAGUCGAGCGGCAGCGGAAAGUAGCUUGCUACUUUGCCGGCGAGCGGCGGACGGGUGAGUAAUGUCUGGGAAACUGCCUGAUGGAGGGGGAUAACUACUGGAAACGGUAGCUAAUACCGCAUAACGUCGCAGGACCAAAGAGGGGGACCUUCGGGCCUCUUGCCAUCAGAUGUGCCCAGAUGGGAUUAGCUAGUAGGUGGGGUAACGGCUCACCUAGGCGACGGUCCCUAGCUGGUCUGAGAGGAUGACCAGCCACACUGGAACUGAGACACGGUCCAGAAUCCUACGGGAGGCAGCAGUGGGGAAUAUUGCACAAUGGGCGCAAGCCUGAUGCAGCCAUGCCGCGUGUAUGAAGAAGGCCUUCGGGUUGUAAAGUACUUUCAGCGGGGAGGAGGGUGUUGAGGUUAAUAACCUCAGCAAUUGACGUUACCCGCAGAAGAAGCACCGGCUAACUCCGUGCCAGCCGCCGCGGUAAUAC
rnacentral:rRNA from 1 species